GCCCCACUAGCUCAGUCGGUUAGAGCGCCGUACUUAUAAUGCGGAGGCCAGCAGUUCGAACCUGCUGUGGGGCA